rnacentral:rRNA from 1 species
AUACGGAGGGUGCAAGCGUUAAUCGGAAUUACUGGGCGUAAAGGGCGCGUAGGCGGUCGAUCAAGUCAGGUGUGAAAUCCCACGGCUCAACCGUGGAGGUGCAUCUGAAACUGAUAGACUUGAGUAUGGGAGAGGAAAGUGGAAUUCCCGGUGUAGAGGUGAGAUUCGUAGAUAUCGGGAGGAACACCAGUGGCGAAGGCGACUUUCUGGACCAAUACUGACGCUGAGGCGCGAAAGCGUGGGGAGCAAACAGGAUUAGAAACCCUUGUAGUCC